CCUACGGGAGGCAGCAGUGAGGAAUAUUGGUCAAUGGGCGGGAGCCUGAACCAGCCAAGCCGCGUGAGGGAAGAAGGUACAGCGUAUCGUAAACCUCUUUUGUCAGGGAACAAAGGCGGGGACUUGUCCUCGUAUGAGGGUACCUGAAGAAUAAGCAUCGGCUAACUCCGUGCCAGCAGCCGCGGUAAUACGGAGGAUUCGAGCGUUAUCCGGAUUUAUUGGGUUUAAAGGGUGCGGAGGCGGCCUGUUAAGUCAGCGGUGAAAGCCCCGGGCUCAACCCCGGCCUGGCCGUUGAAACUGGCGGGCUGGAGUUGGAGAGAGGCACGCGGAAUGCGCGGUGUAGCGGUGAAAUGCUUAGAUAUCGCGCAGAACCCCGAUUGCGAAGGCAGCGUGCCGGCUCCACACUGACGCUGAGGCACGAAAGCGUGGGUAUCGAACAGGAUUAGAUACCCCAGUAGUC
rnacentral:rRNA from 1 species